CCUACGGGAGGCUGCAGUGAGGAAUAUUGGUCAAUGGGCGCAAGCCUGAACCAGCCAUCCCGCGUGCAGGAAGACGGCCCUAUGGGUUGUAAACUGCUUUUCCAGGGGACGAAUAGUUUCUACGUGUAGAGACCUGACGGUACCUUGUGAAUAAGCAUCGGCUAACUCCGUGCCAGCAGCCGCGGUAAUACGGAGGAUGCAAGCGUUAUCCGGUUUCAUUGGGUUUAAGGGGGGCUAAUACGUCUGCGGUGAAAUCCUACAGCUUAACUGUAGAACUGCCAUUGAUACUGUUAGUCUUGAGUUUGGUUAAGGUAGGCGGAAUGUGUAAUGUAGCGGUGAAAUGCUUAGAUAUUACACAGAACACCAAUUGCGAAGGCAGCUUACUGGACCGACACUGACGCUGAGGCACGAAAGCGUGGGGAUCGAACAGGAUUAGAUACCCUAGUAGUC
rnacentral:rRNA from 1 species